UGACUUCUCGGGGUUGAUUUUUCAACUCUGGGCCCAUUUCGGUUUGGGUCUCGGCGAUGCUCACAGGUCGCUCCUCUCCCAUAUCCUAAAUCCAUAACGCAAUAAAAUGUCGAGUCUUCUUCUAGACAUCCCCUCUGUUUUAUGGCCGUCGAUUCCACAGCUGAUGGUCGGUUGUGUCAUUCUGAUCGUUCUGAAAAAAUACUACAAUUCACACAUUCAGCCAUGGGUUUUUGCCAAAUUUUAUCCAUCGCUGGCCAAUUAUCACGUGACUUGUCGGGAGAUUAAGCGACAGCAUUUCGCGUCGAUGAAGAGUCACAAAUCGGCCGAUCCUGAGUUGAGGAAGAAGGGCGCCCUGAGGAUCCUGGAAAUCGGACCCGGUCCCGGCUACAAUUUCGAAUUCUAUCCGCCCAAAAGUGAACUGACGGCCGUCGAAGUCAACCGCUUCUUCGAGGAGCAAUUCUUCGAGAAACAGGCCGACCAUCCGCACAUCAAAAUGGAACGUUUCGUCGUCGGAUUCGCCGAGGACAUGAAGGACGUGCCGGACAACAGCGUCGACAUCGUCGUCUCCACCAUGGUCCUCUGCUCUGUUCGCAGUGUCGAAGGGGCCCUGAAAGAAGUCCAUCGCGUUUUGGCUCCGGGAGGAAAAUAUUAUUAUUGGGAGCACGUCCUCGACCCUGAGAACAUUUGGGCCCGCCUCGGCCAGCAUUUGGCUUCCUACACCUAUUACGACCUGCUCUUCGGCUGCCAGUUGAACCGCAAAAGCGGCGAAAUCGUCAAAGCCAACAAGGCCGGAUACUCGCACAUUGAGCACCAGCGAUUCAGAACACCACCGGAGAAGGGCUUCGAAUUCCUUAGCUUCUUUCACAGCGCUCACGCCAAAGGAAUCGCAACCAAAUAAGGAAUCGAUUAUUAUUCAUGAUAAAAUUGAUUAAUAUUGAGCAGCAGAUUUUAAAAAGGAAUGGCCUAUAAUAGAUUCAUUGAUU
rnacentral:misc_RNA from 1 species